AACGAACGCUGGCGGCGUGCCUAACACAUGCAAGUCGAGCGCGAACGAUUCCUUCGGGGAUCCAGUAGAGCGGCGAACGGGUGAGUAACGCGUGGGUAACCUGGCCCUUUGGUGGGGGAAUUAACCCCGGGGAAACUCGGGGGCUAAUGCCGCAUGAGCUCCGAGUUCUCGCGGGAACUCGGAGGAAAGCAUGCCUCUGCUUCAAGCAUGCGCCAGAGGAGGGGCCCGCGUCCCAUUAGCUUGUUGGUGGGGGUAAUGGCCUACCAAGGCGACGAUGGGUAGCCGGCCUGAGAGGGUGUCCGGCCACACUGGGACUGAGACACGGCCCAGACUCCUACGGGAGGCAGCAGUGGGGAAUAUUGCGCAAUGGGCGAAAGCCUGACGCAGCGACGCCGCGUGGGGGAUGACGGUCUUCGGAUUGUAAACCCCUGUCGUACGGGACGAACAACCUGGGGAUGAAUAAGCCUCAGGCCUGACGGUACCGUGCAAGAAAGCCCCGGCUAACUCCGUG
rnacentral:rRNA from 1 species